UCCGUCUCCGGCAUCGCGAGUAUCCAACACGUGGGGAAUUAAAGACGUGUAUCAACUAAAGCGACGUGUUGCUGUCAAACGCGACGCGGUGCACGGGGUGUAAAUAGUGAACGGAGAGCUGCGAGGCACCUGGCUCUUCCCUGCAGCGCUCCUCGCGUUGUGGGAUCGCUGUGUGCACGGAGAGUGAGCUGUUCGACAUGCGCAGGCGCACUGGGACCCACAGCGUUAACAAACAACAUGAGAGGAGACGUUACAGAGCACGUUGCUAUGGAUGCCUGACUAGGGGAAGUAGAGACAGAUCAGGUGACUGGGAC
ensembl:lncRNA